AGUUAUUAUUAGUCUUUUACACACAAGUUAAAAGACUCAAGUAAAAAAAAGAAGCAAUACAGCAAAUUAAAAUCACAGCAGAAAGACAGACACAAUGAAAGAUACGAGGCUACAUUUUCAGCAUGGUGUCUAAACUUAAGACAUCUAAAACUCAAACCAACUGCUAGGUACUUGGUUACAGAGCUCUCGCUGUGAUAAGCACCGAGUGAGUGAGCACUAGCUUCCAUAUUUUUCAUGUAAUCAAGUCAUUUUACUACAUGCUUGAACUUGGGCAGAGAAGCCUAACCUUUGUUUCUGGAAGAGUAUUUAGAACAUGAAACACUAACAGCUUUCAGGGAACCAGCCAUGGGAUGUUCAACUCUUCCUGAACUAGAAUCCUGGUUCUCAAAUUUAAAAGCUCCAAGGAGGAAAAGGUCAUGACCACAACAACAAGGUUAAACAUUACUAUGAUUUAAACAUCAAUUUGCUGCAGACCCAAGUAUCCAGUUUUUUGUUCAGUUACCCAUUGAAUGAGGCCAUGACCACAAUUGACACUUUCCUCUCAGGCCAUCUGAUUUAUAAGAGAACCUGUCCAGCAGUGAACUAAUACCUGCUCUGGAAAUUUCCGCUAUCAAAGGUUGUAUCGGGAUAAUUAGGGGGUUUUGCAUUGAUAAAAAUUCAUACAUUCAAGACAUAUUUAUAAGUAGGGGACUGGUGGCUCCACACUAUACCCUCUUCUGCCACACUUCACGCCAUCCUGUCAUUUGAUUUAAAUGUUAAAGUGCUGUCACACCUAGAUCAAUCUCUGACAGAAAUCACAAGCUACUUCCAGCCAAAGAUAAAGUACUCAUAGGAGGUGGAUGCUCCCCAGCUCUGAGAGGCAGGUAUCAGCAGUCUCUGCCACACAAGUGCAGAUUCAGCUAAUCUCUGCUAGCCUUCCACACACCUCAAAAAAACAUGGCUGAUUAUUUGCGUACAGUAUCUGCAGGUUAGCCUUACUUCUCAGCAUUUAUUCACUAACUCUCCAAUAGAAGUUCCUCCUGUUCUGUGCUCCACCAAAAAUCUAGGAUCACAACCUCAGCUGUGGCAUCCAACCUUGUCUUCAACUCAACUGUAUUGCACCAAUUAGGGAUUUUUUCAAGUGCUUAGAAAAAAAAAAUCUAUUUCCCUUACUUUAUCUUUGUAAACUGUUUGUAGUCACAACUACAAGCUAGUUGCCAGGCAAGUGAAAAACACAAAACACAAAUCUCAUAGGUGCUGCCAAUAAUUUCAGUAUGAAAUUAAAAUAGUGAUACAUGUAAUACAAAUAGGCAAAGAGACCUUAUGCCCCAACCUUCUAGACUAAUUCCUCCAGCUCUCCAAGUCAACAGCAAAUGGAGAUACCUAUCUCUGUCUUCAUUUCAUGAUAAACUCCUAGCAUGCAGACUGAGGAUGCACUCCAUUUACAGGCAGUACUCCUAAUGAAGUCAACAGCCUCACAUCUAUCCCCACAACUGAUAACAAGUAUUACCAAAGCAAUGGCUCCUCGGCUGCACAAUGUAAGUUAGCUGUAGUAACAAUUAACUAUACACCUUUAUAAGAUUCAUCUCUACCUCACACCUGAAUUUUCAUGAAAAACAUCUCCCCCUGCAAACCCUUCCUACAGUUAGAUUUGCCUCUGUCCCACCUCCAUACAAACUGUCAAAAUAUCACUACAUGGGAGUAUGCACCUUCAUGAAACCAUCACCCAGAAAGAAUUUUCUAUGCAAGAAAACAACUAUGAGUCAGUUCCUGUUGUUUCUCUAAAAUUAUUCCUAUAUUAAUUAAUCUAAGGAAUUAAAUUGCCUUCAAUUUCUUUUAGUUCUCUCUUGAAGUUGCCUUUAGGACAAGAGCAAAUCUUCUGAGGUAAAACACUUAAUGGCAACUGUCACUACUUUUUGCUGGGACCAUGGUCAGCAAUUUGCUGAGCUGUGGUCCAUUGUCCACAUCUCAGACAAGAUCUAGACCACAACAUUGAACCACGUCUCUGUUUCUCCCCACUAUGGUCUUUGCUCAGGUAACACAGCUGUGUCUCUAACACAAUUUCAGUAGCACAUGCCUCAGCUUCCUUGAUGGGAGAGUACUGCCUCACACCCAAAGGAAGCUGUGGGCAGGCCUCUUCUCAGCUUCCUUGCAUGGAUUAUUGCACAAAUGACUAUCACUACUUGAAGAACGCAUUCAGCACACCAUAAGCCUCCUCUAGGCAAAAGGAGCCUCUAGUGUUUUCUCUGCUGUAAGCUCUCCUGAAAGCCCCUUCUCAGAUUUGCUAUAGGACAGGAGGGCAAUGGUAAAGCAACAAUCUAGUCACAAAUCUGGAUGGUCCUAAUCCUCAGCCUACAUGAGCCAACUCGCCUCCGUUCUCAUCAAAGCCACUAGUACUGAUUAAGGGCUAGCCUACAGUUGGUAUUAAUACAGGAACCAAUGCUUCAGAGAAGGCAUCAACAGCACUCUGAGUUUGCACAGUCCCAGUGACCGCAUGACACACAAAGUUAAAUGAGUUCCUUUUUGCAAAAUUAAUCUCGGAUCAAACCUUAGUCUGGCACAGGGAUUGUCAUCAGGAGCAAAGAAUCAGCAUCUGGAAUUUGAUUAAAUCAACUGGUAACCAAAACCACAUUCUAGAUGCAACAAGUAACCUUCUGCAGCCACGGCAGCUUAAGCACACACUUAAGUCCAAUUCCUGUGUAUUAGUGUGACUGAGUAAGCCUUUUGAUAUCAAUCUAACGCUGGCAAACUCAUACAGCAGCAGAAGCGGGGAAGAACAGCUCUUAAACUACCGUAGUCAUGGACCAACAGGACUAAAAACGAUUAAGAUGCAAGCUCUCAUGCCUUUUCUUGUACCUUCACCUUUUAAAGAUACCAGUUACAUCUUUACAACUAACAUCUAAAGUGCAACAAAACCUAACCGCUUAAUGUAUUGCGUAAAUAAACACAAACAGAUUUAUACAGGCUCCAAGGCUUCGCUGAUGGUAUUGCCAGGUACAACACAACAGAAUGGCAGAGCCCAGGAUCAAGCCCAAGCUAAGCAGACAGCCAUCAAAUCUUCAGUAUUUCCAUAGUUUAAAACCCAAUUCUGUCAAACAGCACUCUCUUAACAUCAUAUUUGAUGUUCAAAAUGAAGCUGUUCUAAUUCAAAAGUGGGUUGACUUUUUGUAACAUAAAUCUUUUGUUAAUGUUCAUAUAAAUCAAGUAUAGCUGAACAGAUUCUUAAAGGAUAUGACCAAAAAUUAAUUUGCCACAUUAGCUUCAGGUUAACAAAUUCUUCUGCUUGGAGACAGUCAUACAUUACCUAAUGCAUUUUAAGGUUCUUUGCAGCACACUGCUGUUCCUGAGUUUUGGAAAGAAACCUGUUGUGGCCUCAACAUUUUUGCACAGAAAAAGCUAAGCUCAGUAAUUCUACUGGAAAUAGGAGCUAAGUCUUUAACAUAAUGCCUUUUUCUUCAAUGAUUUUCCAAGUAUCCAAGAGGUGGAACAUGUUUUUAAGAUCUUCGAAAGCAAAAUGUUUGUCACACGUUACAUCUGCAUAGGCCAAAAUUAAAAAUCUUUACAGAAUAUAUGAGGAGAUACACACAUUUUUAAAUCACAAGUGCAUAAUACACAAUACUUCAGCUGUGUCACAGAUACAAAUAUAACUAAAGAUUCUCCUCUCUCAUUCAUUGGGAUUUGCAAAGUUAGAAUCGUGGAGCUUUUGUUUCAACAUUUAAUCAAAUUUAAAAAGAUGUUCCACAGUCACAAUUCAACACCAUCUCACUACCUAUAAAGAAGAAAAUGAAUACAAAAAAUGGGGAAAACACCACUUUUUGAGCUGCUACCACCAUUUUUUACCAGGUAACACCACCAAUUUUUGAAUUCUUCCUGCAAAGCUUUUUUUGUACAUUGAUAUAGUAUCUGCUACAGUUCUAUACAAAAACAUCAGUCAUUUGUGGACAGAUGUUUUCUUUGAUGGAAAGAGAAAACAUUUUAGUUUAACUUUUUUCAAGUUUUUUUCCUCUGGUCCAAAAAAUAGUAUAGAAUUUCUCUAUGCCAAAAGGUGGAGACAGUGCAGUUAAGACAUUCAAAGUAAGACGUGUAUUGCCCUAAUCCUCAGAUGAAAUUUAGAAAGUAGUAAUCAUAAAUUAAGAUCAAAAGAACAAGCAGUUCAGUGAUGAUCCAUAAACCUGUAAUGAACUGCAAAGUUCCUUAACUUGAUGCUCAAUACAAUUUUAUUUACUUCUCUUUUUGUUCAUACGCCAGCUCGCUAAGGGAAGGGGUAGGAAUGUGUACAGAAGAACACAAAGAAAGUAUAUUUUCAAGUACUAAAUUCUACCUUGUUUUUUAUUUUUUAUGCUAAUUCUGGCAUUAGAAUUCUCAAAGUACUUCUCAGUAAGAGUAAUAUAGUAUCCAAGUAAUCAAUACCUAACCUGCAGUGUUUGUAAAGGGUAUGACACAUGGAAAACAGAGUUUCUUCUUUUUUUCCAGUAAAAAUUCCUCUUUUUCAGACAAUUAAUUCUUUCAGUGAAAUCAUGGAUACAGUGAGGCAAAAUAAUUUUAAUGAGCCCCUUAAAUAGCCUGCACAAAACUGAAUGUGAACAACCCAUCUCAACAUACGACCUUUGUGUCAAAUAAACAUCUUCUCAUUUUCAACGGCAUAACAUCCUUCCUAAAUCAAAUCAUAUGUCUGUCUUAUGGCCUUAGGAAGUUACCUCACUUCCUCCACAGAGACCAAUCCAAGAGAACAGUCUCCUCAGCAACGGAAUACAGAAGACAAUACAAUUAUUUCUUCAAAUAGAACAAAGUUAACCUUUAUUUUGAGGAGUAUUUGAUGCUAUCCAUUACAAACAUGUAUUUUUCCCUUGCAGCUCAAGAAUGCUGGAACUUCAAGCUUUGCAUUGUGAACCUGUUCUUCAUACAAAACCACUCAUUUUUGUAAAGCACCAGAACCUCCUUGGGAGACUUUUGAACAAGCUAUAGGCUUUCAAAGACUAAAGACUGAAAUUUCCACAUUGAUGCUUCUACAAUAGUUAAAGUAACAAAAUAAAGAACCCUCUGACAAGCCAUCACUUGUAUAUCCCUGAAAACAAGUUAUCUACACCCAUUAACUUCAUUUUCUCGCAAACAGCCAAAAGAACUGUUAACAACAUCACAGGAAAACGCAUUCUGCCAUACUACUCACAUGCUUCUUGCUUCUGCUUCCAAACCACUGAAAGUCCUUCUGGAUGGGCAGAAAUUGCCAACAUAAAGGAAGUUCUUACGAAUUCCUGAUAAAGAAUAUAUUCUUUAAUUCACACCAGAAAAAUGACAAGAAGAAGGGUAGGCUCCAUAGCUCAUCAUCCACUCACUUGACAAAAAGCCAAAUUCUGCUAAAUGCAGCAGUGACCACUGAUUUCUUCAGCUUUGAAGAGGAAGUCAAAACGGAAAGACAUGGAUGCACGCUCAUUUCAAGUGCUGUCAGAAUCAAUAGGUACAUCUGUCCAAGAUAGUGAAUAGGAGGAAAUGCACUAGUAUCUCCUAAAAAUUGUUGAAUAACCAAUCUCAAUUUUUAAAAAUUUAAAAACAUCCAUAUAUUUUGAAUUGUAAGUUCAAGGAAUUUUGACUAUUUCCAGAGCUAGCCAUACAUAUAAUAGCAACAAAAAUAUUCAAUAGAAACUUCUGAGGAUCCAAGAAAGAUCGUAUUCAUAUUAGACUGUGACAUUUAUGGAUGAAAAGCACUGUUUAAGUAUUCUCAAAACACUUUAGAGUUUAUCAGGUCCAUGAAAUAAACUUUCAGGAAAGAAAAUGUUCAUUUUU